rnacentral:lncRNA from 1 species
GUACAAGAGUCUUUUGCCAUUUAAUGAAGAAUGUAUUUUUGAAAAUAUCUCUUUAGUGAUGGUAAAAAUGAAAAGUGGUACAAUGAAAGUGGUAAACAUGUAAUUUCCCCAAAAUAUAACAAAGAUACGAGUAAAUAAAAUCUUUUUUUUUUUGAAGAUUAAAGUAAAUAAAAUCUUAUAAGGUCUCAUUAGCUUUUUUUUUUUUUUGUCACGAAUAGGGUCUCAUUAGCUAAGCUCCGUAAAAUUUUCCUAAACCAAAAACCGAUCGAAAGAGAUGCUGAAUCAAAAAUUGAGUUUUUUUUCACAUUGGAGAGUUGGUUUUGUAAGAAAAACAUAACCAAACCCAAUAUUUGAUGUGCAUCUAUAAAUUUUUUUUUCUUUUUUCUUAACAUUUUUACCAAAAAAAAAUUAAUUUUUUUUUUCAAAACAUUACAAAAACAUGCAUGGUGUUAUUCAUUGUUUCAUUUUCCUUCAGAUAUAUCACUUUUAAUUAAAGUAUUAAUUAGGAGGUGAUAUAUUAAUAAAUUAUAAGUGUAUAUGGUUGAUUUAGAAAUAAUACCAUGCACAUAUUAUAAUGAUAUCUUGAGGUUUUUGUGUGUUUUCAUGUUUUAUAACCCUAAUCAAUUUUUUUUUGAACUUUCCUAAAUAAAAUUUUGCAUCACAAUACAAAUUGAAGUUUUUAAAUUGGCGUGUAAUUAAUAUGUUUGAUUGAAAGUGGUUCAUAUAAAUUGUUUGAGCCAAAACACAAGUGAUUCA